rfam:Bacillus infantis NRRL B-14911, complete genome.
AAUCAAGGAACGCAGGCUAAAACCGCCACGUCCUGUGGCAACGCCUGCAUGACCCGCAUCCUGCGGG